rnacentral:rRNA from 1 species
AGAGAGAGACAUGCGCGCAUAUCAAUAAGCGGAGGAAAAGAAACUAACUAGGAUUCCCUCAGUAACGGCGAGUGAAGCGGGAAGAGCUCAAAUUUGAAAUCUUCAAGGUUCUACCUUGACGAAUUGUAGUUUAAAGAAGUGUUUUCUGUUGAAGUUUUGGUAAAAGUUCUUUGGAAUAGGACAUCAUAGAGGGUGAGAAUCCCGUAUUUGACCAUUAUUUCCAGCUUUGUGAUACACUUUCAAAGAGUCGGAUUGUUUGGGAAUGCAGUCCAAAAUGGGUGGUAAAUUUCAUCUAAAGCUAAAUAUUGGCGAGAGACCGAUAGCGAACAAGUACCGUGAGGGAAAGAUGAAAAGAACUUUGAAAAGAGAGUUAAACAGUACGUGAAAUUGUCAAAAGGGAAGCGUUUAACACCAGUGUUGUUUUCUCGAAAAUCAAUUAAAAAAUGGCUGGAUUUUGUAUUGUUGAUUGACCUUAAUCAGCUUCACUGCUACAUCUUUUCGUGUCUUUUUUAAUGCACUUUUCGUUUAACAAGUCAACAUCAGUUUCUUUUGUUGUAAAAGGGUCAUUGGAAGGUGGCUUUCUUUCGGAGAAAGUGUUUAUAGCCUUUGGCCUCUGCAAUCGGAGAGAUUGAGGUCUGCAGCGUAGACUCUUCGGGGUUAGAUACAUUUGUGCUAAGUUAUAGCCUUUUCAUAGACAACUUGUUGACUAUAAUCAGUCAUGUAGCUUACUCGCUUAUGCUAUUUUACCUACGCUUAGGAUGUUGAAGAUGUAGCACAUCAU